rnacentral:rRNA from 1 species
GAUGAACGCUGGCGGCGUGCCUAAUACAUGCAAGUCGAGCGAACGGACGAGAAGCUUGCUUCUCUGAUGUUAGCGGCGGACGGGUGAGUAACACGUGGAUAACCUACCUAUAAGACUGGGAUAACUUCGGGAAACCGGAGCUAAUACCGGAUGAUAUUUUAAACCGCAUGGUUCAAAAGUGAAAGACGGUCUUGCUGUCACUUAUAGAUGGAUCCGCGCUGCAUUAGCUAGUUGGUAAGGUAACGGCUUACCAAGGCAACGAUGCAUAGCCGACCUGAGAGGGUGAUCGGCCACACUGGAACUGAGACACGGUCCAGACUCCUACGGGAGGCAGCAGUAGGGAAUCUUCCGCAAUGGGCGAAAGCCUGACGGAGCAACGCCGCGUGAGUGAUGAAGGUCUUCGGAUCGUAAAACUCUGUUAUUAGGGAAGAACAUAUGUGUAAGUAACUGUGCACAUCUUGACGGUACCUAAUCAGAAAGCCACGGCUAACUACGUG